rnacentral:rRNA from 1 species
AGUGAACGCUGGCGGUAUGCCUAACACAUGCAAGUCGAACGGCAGCACAGUAAGAGCUUGCUCUUACGGGUGGCGAGUGGCGUACGGGUGAGGAAUACAUCGGAAUCUACUUUUUCGUGGGGGAUAACGUUGGGAAACUUACGCUAAUACCUCAUACGACCUACGGGUGAAAGCAGGGGAUCUUCGGACCUUGCGCGAUUGAAUGAGCCGAUGUCGGAUUAGCUAGUUGGCGGGGUAAAGGCCCACCAAGGCGACGAUCCGUAGCUGGUCUGAGAGGAUGAUCAGCCACACUGGAACUGAGACACGGUCCAGACUCCUACGGGAGGCAGCAGUGGGGAAUAUUGGACAAUGGGCGCAAGCCUGAUCCAGCCAUACCGCGUGGGUGAAGAAGGCCUUCGGGUUGUAAAGCCCUUUUGUUGGGAAAGAAAAGCAGCAGGUUAAUACCCCGCUGUUCUGACGGUACCCAAAGAAUAAGCACCGGCUAACUUCGUG